rnacentral:lncRNA from 12 species
CUGAAUCAUUAGUAAAUGCUCUUUAAGAAAAGACAUCUCUGCUCACCACGCAGCCACAUAGCCCUCAAAGUCCUUUUUUUUCUUUCUUUUUUUUUUUUUUCUUUUUAGGUGAAGACUGGAAGUAGCAGGGAUCAUUGUUGAGAAUGACGUUUGAACGUUUGAAGACACCCCUGAGCCUGGAGAUGUUGAGUAGUACAGGUCUUUCAUAAGUGAAUUUUCCAAACUGAUGAUGUGACAGGAAAAAGCCAUAUACGGGUGGCCAUUACAUUGUGUACCCCUCUUUGGGAUUUGUGAAAAUCAUCAGCUGGAAUCCCAGGCCAUCGUUCACCUAAUAAAUCAUCAGAAAGAGAACAUACACCCUGCAGCCAAGAAGAAAAGCCCAGUUAUUAAUGGAAGACUUUGAUCACAUAAUCAUGAUUUUUAAAAGUCCUAUUAAGAGCCCCCUCUGGAACUCAAAAAACCCUCUGACAGGUCUACUAACACCACAAGAACAUAUUGAGUUUCAUG